CUGAAGUCGCAAGACUGUUUGCCCCUUACAGAGCGAGGCCUUCCUCAGCGCCACUUUCAUCUCUGACCCCGCAAUCUUCCAAGAAAGCAUGCUGCUCCAUUUACACACACACCUUCUUCUGUUUACAUGACCAUGUCAGACACAGUGCCAGCUAAAGCAGUCAAAUUUGACCUAUCAGCAGCUGGACUUGGAGAGAAAUGGAUUUCAUUCCAAGGAAGGGAUGAUGACCCAGAAGUGGUCAAGGCGAAGAUUGAGGAUACCUUCCCUCAGCUAAAAGACACAGGAGGGUUUGAACCGCUGAGAAUCUCGGGUACAACACGAAGCCGUAACCUGCGCACAAUCCCAAGCCCAGACACUGGAUAUACAGUGCGAUAUCUCCGCAGUCCAUUGAGUGGAAUUGGACAAGCUUUGAUCUAUAUAAGGCCACUGCAGAAAAGUAUUGAUCUGGAAGACGCCUGACAACCCUCCAGCAACAAGGACCCCCCACAAAAUGCCUGAAUUGUGACAUUAACAUUCCUUUAAAUAAAAUGAAAAACCACAUCACUAAAUGCACAAGUUCAUUGAGUGGUGCUGAACCUCAGUCUGUUACUGAAAGUCAGGCUAGGCAGACUCGUAGUGCAACAGCAAGGUCAGAGGUCCCAUCCUGUAGCAACAGUGAUGCCUGGAAUCUGUCCUGCGGGGUAGAGGAACCAGAUGGUAUCAUCUUGGACUCCACCAUAAAUUCAGCAAGAGCAGAGCAAUCGUCAGGUGAUAUGGUAGUGCAGGAAAAUGCAUCUCAUCAAGAUGACGAAAAGUCACUUCUAGGGGAAAAACCAGAGUGGAAAUGUGAACAAGAUGCAACCAGAGCAGCCUGGCUCUACAAGUCCGAGUUACUUUCAAAGUAUGAGACCAGAAAGGCAGUAGUCCUGCAAAUGGACUUGCGGGAAAGUAUUGUGGGUCAACAGAGGUCACUUAUCUCCCUCUACAAAGCCCCAAAGGUAGAGUGGGCGGGGCCUGUCAGCUGCAAACUGGAAGGGGAUGUUGCUGUUGGAGAAGGGGUGAAGAGAUUCUUCUUCUCAAAGGCAGUUUCUCUAGUACAGUCUGGUUUGCAUUUGAAUUUUGGGAACACAGAUCUUACAAGACUGUUUGACGGUGAGCCAGAACACUUGACUCCAUCCACUUCUCAGACCUUGCUUGAGAGUGACAUGUUUUUGGUGGCAGGAAGAAUAAUGGGACAUUCAUUCAUUCAUGGUUAG
ensembl:lncRNA